GGCGGCGUGCCUAAUACAUGCAAGUCGAACGCACAGCGAAAGGUGCUUGCACCUUUCAAGUGAGUGGCGAACGGGUGAGUAACACGUGGACAACCUGCCUCAAGGCUGGGGAUAACAUUUGGAAACAGAUGCUAAUACCGAAUAAAACUUAGUGUCGCAUGACACAAAGUUAAAAGGCGCUUCGGCGUCACCUAGAGAUGGAUCCGCGGUGCAUUAGUUAGUUGGUGGGGUAAAGGCCUACCAAGACAAUGAUGCAUAGCCGAGUUGAGAGACUGAUCGGCCACAUUGGGACUGAGACACGGCCCAAACUCCUACGGGAGGCUGCAGUAGGGAAUCUUCCACAAUGGGCGAAAGCCUGAUGGAGCAACGCCGCGUGUGUGAUGAAGGCUUUCGGGUCGUAAAGCACUGUUGUAUGGGAAGAACAGCUAGAAUAGGAAAUGAUUUUAGUUUGACGGUACCAUACCAGAAAGGGACGGCUAAAUACGUGCCAGCAGCCGCGGUAAUACGUAUGUCCCGAGCGUUAUCCGGAUUUAUUGGGCGUAAAGCGAGCGCAGACGGUUUAUUAAGUCUGAUGUGAAAGCCCGGAGCUCAACUCCGGAAUGGCAUUGGAAACUGGUUAACUUGAGUGCAGUAGAGGUAAGUGGAACUCCAUGUGUAGCGGUGG
rnacentral:rRNA from 1 species